rnacentral:rRNA from 1 species
CCUACGGGUGGCAGCAGUGGGGAAUAUUGCACAAUGGGGGAAACCCUGAUGCAGCGACGCCGCGUGAGUGAAGAAGUAAUUCGUUAUGUAAAGCUCUAUCAGCAGGGAAGAAAAUGACGGUACCUGAGUAAGAAGACCCGGCUAACUACGUGCCAGAAGCCGCGGUAAUACGUAGGGGGCAAGCGUUAUCUGGAUUUACUGGGGGUAGGGGAGUGGAGACGGCAGGGGAAGUCUGGAGUUAAAGGCGGGGGCUCAAACCCCGGAUCGCUUUGGAGACUGUACGGCUGGAGUGCAGGAGAGGUAAGCGGAAUUCCAAGUGUAGCGGUGAAAUGCGUAGAUAUUAGGAGGAACACCAGUGGCGAAGGCGGCUUACUGGACUGUAACUGACGUUGAGGCUCGAAAGCGUGGGGAGCAAACAGGAUUAGAUACCCCGGUAGUC